ensembl:lncRNA
UGGCCAAUCGCAAAGCCCAAUCGCGUCCUGCAAAACAUCCUGGAAAGACUUCAUUUGGGGUUUAUUAGAAAUAAGUGAAAAGACCAAUGUUUCCUUUUUAACAUUUCCAGACACAACUAAAAUAUGUAUGUCCAUUUUUUGAACAGCCCAUUAAUUUUUUCUCAUUAAAAUGUGUUUGUAAAACCUCUAGUCCCAAGGCUAAUCUAUAGGAAUCAGAUUGUUUCGCGUUUUCAUUUUAGGCUUGGGUGUUACUUGGUUAGGCAAAAAGAAUACGCAAUUGGUUGUAAUAGAAAAUAAAGGAAAAAUUAUCAAAUGAUUUUUCUUUUUAAACUAGGAAACUUUUUAGCCGCGCUGGACAUUUAAAAAAUUAUGACCCGCUUCCUUUUAAAAGAAAAAAGGCCACAAAAGCGUGAGAAUGCAGAAAGCGAGGAUUUAAAGUGGUAGGACGCCCCCUCCACCACCAGCCCCCGCUCCCAGAAAUAUCAGCAAUACGGUUCUGGGAAAGCAAGAGCGGGCAUCUUCCAUUCUGAGGAACGAAUGGGGUCCCUCCUCGGGAACGCGCAGGGGGCAGCUGCCCGCGCCUCGGGGACCGCUCGGCUCCGCGCUCAGCUGGCCGGCUCUGCCCGCUGCAGACCCGCGCCGGCGUCGUGGCGGCCCGGCCGGUGCAACGGCCUCGGGGAUGCCCCCCGGGCUGCGCGCGCCCGCGGCGGGGAGGGGAGUCCCCGCACCGGGUUGAGACGACUUUCCUUCCUCAGCUUCCCCGCCCUCUCUCUCCGAAUUCUUGAAUUCUUCAGCCCGGGCCGCCGCUGCCCUCCUGGUCCCUCCGGGCCGCACGCGCGGCAGGGAGCGAGCAGCAUCCGGUCCCUUCCGGAGCGCGCAGGCGGCGCCUUCUCAGCGUGCGCCCGGGGUGGGUCGACAGCGACCGGGACGGGAGGCGGGAGCGUUCCCGGAGGCUGCGGAGAGCCCCGCUUUGUCUCAAGGGACCGCUGGGCAGUUUCCUCCUUUUCCCGCCCGCAUCCCUCUGCUUCCAGGUGCUCCAGGAAGUCGCCGGAGCUGAAGGUGAAGAAACUGAGGCCCAGAAAGGUGCUAGCAGCAAUAGUGGUCCUCUCUGAUUUUCAGUUUUUCGAAGACCACUGCAAUUCGCAAGUAGAUCCUGCAUUUGGAAUUUGCCAGAGUCACUUUGGAAGUUCCCGGGGCAGCACCAUAGCUGGGAAGCAUUCAGCUAUAAAUCCAAAUAUUCUUGAGCAUCAGGAGCUUAAACUCCUUUCUCUAGAACCACAGAAGCCAAAUACACCGCUGACCGAGUAACAGGCCUACAGAGUAUUCACAGUAAAGAUUGCAGCAUUCCAAACAACAAGAAAGGAAUUAAAAAGAUAGUGUGUUCUAUGCCUACAUGGACGGGACUUUGGCUAGCUUCUUGUUGAAGCAGUUUGGACAUUUGAAAGAUACUACAACUCCAGGUCUUGAAUCUGAUCAUGUUUAACAAUUGCCUUUUUAUUAGGGAAUUAAGGUUUUCUCCUUUGAGACUUGAACAUGAUUGGGUUUUUUUUUCCCCUAGAAAUUGAUUCCUUUAGAAAAAUACUUAUGAGAGGAGCAUGAAGCUCAAAGUUUAUUUUAAUGUUAUUAAUAUUAUCUUAGGUUUUAAUACAAGCACAGCGAUAUUGUUAGCUUGAGCAAUUUUUUUAUGUAUGGUUUGAUAUGCAGGGAUAAUCGAAUUCCAAAAGAAACUUGUGGUUAGAAUUUUUACACUAAAACAUUCUAUUGGGACUGUUGUCAGAGAGAAUAUAAAUCAAAGUUUAGACACGAGGUUGAGCAGUGUCUCUUUAAGUAAAAUAUCUGGCAUAGUUUCUACAAAGUUGCCAGUGACUCUUGUUCCCUGAACCUCUAAUUCAGAAGGUCCCAUGAGGCUUUGGUCUCUGGCAGCAUUUCCAUUGCUAUUGAUCUAAGUGAAACAAGGCAGGGGUGGAACAAGCAGCUGGAAAUAGUUAUUGAUUUAUUUAUUUGACACAU